CUGCACUGGUUAAUUGUUUUGUCCUGCUUCCUGCCCAUGUUUGUGGGAUACUGGAACCAGUGCAGAAAGGAAAUGCUGCUCUCUGAAGCGGCGGCGGCCAGACAACCGUUGAGAUAGAUCCACAGAUGAAUGGCUUAUGCGUUGUUUGUCUACUAAUUCUAUCUCACAUUU
rfam:Oryza glumipatula chromosome 3, whole genome shotgun sequence.